rnacentral:tRNA from 1 species
GCCCUGGUGGCGCAAUAGUUAAGCGCUCAGUUGCUAACAAAAAAGGUGGUGGUUCGAACCCACCCAGUGGCU